GGAAAAGCAGCCUUGUGGGCAGGCCCUGCCUCGCCUGUGCCGGGCCCCGCCCCUUUCUUAAAGCGGCCGCGCGGGCCCAAGCUCUGCUGGCUGGUUUCCAGAAGUAGUAGGGAUUGCUUCUAGACAGAACAUCCCCCAGCAACCAAACUAGGCCAGUGUGCUUCGAUUCACAGAGCCCCAGCUUUGCCCUUGGCUUGCAUAUCGACCCAUCUGGGCCUCAAGGCUUCGGAAUAGCCCAUUUCACGUUUCAUUUGAUCAUUGGCGAGAAAACUUUCUUUAGAGACAGAAUCUCACUAUGCAUCCCUGGCUGCCUUUGAGCUCACAAAGGUCAGCCUGCCUCUGUCUCCUGAAUGCUGAAGUUAAAGUCUCACUCGGUGGUCCAUGCAGGGCAUUUGCCUCAACCCCCAGAGUGCUGGUAUAGCAGGACAUAUGGGUCUCUGCUUGUCACUCUGCAGACAGCAUUGAGUGUGAUAGUCACGCAUGGAGUUCCAAUCAAGCCUGAGUCACCAGGGACCAGAAAUUCUUCAAGUAUUCCUGGAACGAAGUCGUCCACCAGGCAGCAAGGUAAUUGAGGCAAAGGGCUCCACUCCCUUCUCCAAGCCAGAGGCUAUUGCUAGCUUGACUUCCAGCUGUGCUUUGGGAGUUGCUAUGUGAAGUUAGUUAUAUGUGUCUCCUGGUUUGGGUUCAAAUUACAAUCACUAAUCAACCAGCUUCCCAAAGAAAAAACAAAACAUUUCCGGUUUGGAAUCAGAGCCCAUCUGUUUCUCAUUUUAUCCCAGUCUCAGAAGACUGGAUUGCUUAUAUACAUUCUUUCUUCCCUCCCACCUUAAGAAUAUAUGCCAGCUGGACGCAAAGUGACCUUACUUGGCUACCUUUGUCAAAGUGAGAAUGAUGUGUGUUGUGGAGAUUACAUGGGAAAUUCCUUGUUUCCAUGCAGAACAGGUCCCUCUUGUGUUGGUUAUGAAGAUUGUCUUGUAUCUGCUUCUCAGAGCAUGGGAACCAAUUCUCAUCUUGAGUGAGUCAAUCGAUCAGAACUUCGGAUUCUCCUGCCCCACCUUCCCAAGUGCAACACUUCACUCGGCUGCCUGUCCAUUUCCCCAUCUUCUGAAGCUGAGGCCCCUAGACCUUCCUCUGCAUGCUGAAACCUGGUAACAUGCUAAAAUGUCUCGGUGAAUAGAAGCCAAAGUACAUCAGCCUUACUUCCUGUCGACAGCCAGGGAUGGAAGACAAUUGCACUUCAUCUGGAGAGAUGCACACCUGACUGGAAUAAACAUUCCUUUUCCCCGUCACGCUGUUCACUUUGGUGGAGAACAAGAGAGUUGCAUCACAAUGAACAGAUGUGAGAGACUGUAGUAGACCCGUGAAGUUAAGGCUCUGCAACAAGCGCGCAGCUUUUGAGCAACAGCACCAGGAUCCAUUUAUCUUCAUUUCUUAUUUGCAAAGCCUCACCGAACACAUCCGGGGUUCUGUUGGAGAAAAGAGACUUCCUGAGACAUGAUGUAAUUCUUGCAAAGGGGAAACACAUGCUGAGUUCUGCAGCACAAAACAAUAUUGAGGUGCUGAUAGCUGGGGCUGACAGUCACAUGACAGGAUACAGGCCACAACCAGGCAGCACCCGGGAGUCCUUGGAGCAUAGUAUUGGGGACGGCACAGGGGCAGGAGCAAAAGUUUUCGAUGCUUUUCAAGUCCACGGACUCCGUUACAUUUAUAAAAACGUAGUGGAAAAGAAACCUUUCUGUUUUAACUGUAACAAUUUUCUUCCCCAUAAUACAUGUCCCACAUGCUCCCUUUCUACUCCAGAAGCAGAAGAGACUUGUGAGAUCAGUGGAAAGAAAAAGAUGAUUCAAAGCACAUUCGAGUUUGAGAAACAUUGACGUGAAUGGAACAUUAUGGGAACCAAGAAGAAGAAGAAGAAG
rnacentral:lncRNA from 1 species